CAGGGGGGCACGCUGCUCUACCCGCUUCAUGAAGUCCACCAGCUGACCUGAGGUGGAAGACGAGCAGGAGGAUCAGGAGUAAAGCACGAAAAGGAAAGAAAAACGACUGCAGAAACAGAACAAGAAGAAAGAAGGUCCCAGACAGGAAGUGUUUCAUCAUCUCUCAUGUCUUUCAGUUAAAGUGACUGCACUGACUAGGGCACAGCCUGGGGAACAGCCUGGGGCAGUAGACAGCAGGCAGUAGACAGACCAAUAGGAUAUGAAACAGUUUCAUUUCUGUUCAGUUUUAUUUAGGUCUGUAGCAGGUCUAUGAUUAUUUUAAUGUUUUUAAUUAUUUUAAUAUAACUGACUGUCUGGGUACUCGGGUACUUGUACGUGUGACAUGUGACAAAUAAAGGCAUCAUGAAAA